UACGAAGGGGACUAGCGUUGUUCGGAAUCACUGGGCGUAAAGCGCACGUAGGCGGAUUCGGAAGUCAGGGGUGAAAUCCCGGGGCUCAACCUCGGAACUGCCUUUGAUACUGCGGGUCUUGAGUCCGAUAGAGGUGGGUGGAAUUCCUAGUGUAGAGGUGAAAUUCGUAGAUAUUAGGAAGAACACCGGUGGCGAAGGCGGCCCACUGGAUCGGUACUGACGCUGAGGUGCGAAAGCGUGGGGAGCAAACAGG
rnacentral:rRNA from 1 species